AGGGCUACACACGUGCUACAAUGGCGGUACAAAGGGUUGCUACCUAGCGAUAGGAUGCUAAUCUCAAAAAGCCGAUCGUAGUCCGGAUUGGAGUCUGCAACUCGACUCCAUGAAGUCGGAAUCGCUAGUAAUCGCGGAUCAGAAUGCCGCGGUGAAUACGUUCCCGGGCCUU
rnacentral:rRNA from 1 species